rnacentral:sRNA from 1 species
GCCGGGCAUGGUGGUGCAUGCCUGUAAUCCCAGCUACUCAGGAGGCUGAGGCAGGAGAAUCACUUGAACCUGGGAGACAGAGGUUGCAGUGAGCCAAGAUCGUGCCACUGCACUCCAGCCUGGGCAACAGGGUGGGACUCUGUCUCAA